UACCCAAUCCUGACAUAGGGAGGUAGUGACAAGAAAUAACAAAGCAAGUCUCUUAGAGGCGCUGCGUUGGAAUGAGUAGAAUUUAAAUCUCUGUACGACCAUCAAUUGGAGGGCAAGUCUGGUGCCAGCAGCCGCGGUAAUUCCAGCUCCAAUAGCGUAUAUUAAAGUUGUUGCGGUUAAAAAGCUCGUAGUUGGAUUUCUGCCUGAGGCAGCCGGUCCGCACUUAGUGCGUGUAUCUGGUUUGGUUUGGGCAUCCUCUUGGGGAUCGUUGCUGUGCUUAGUUGCAUGGUGCGGAAUUCAAGACGUUUACUUUGAGGAAAUUAGAGUGGUUACGGCAAGCUAUCGCUUUGAAUACAUUAGCAUGGAAUAAUAAUAUAGGGCGUAAGUUCUAUCUUGUUGGUUUCUAGAACAUACGCAAUGAUUAAUAGGGACAAUUGGGGGCAUUCGUAUUAACGCGUCAGAGGUGGAAUUCUUAGAUUGCGUUACGACGAACUACUGCGAAAGCAUUUGCCAAGGAUGUUUUCAUUGAUCAAGAACGAAAGUAUGGGGAUCGAAGACGAUUAGAUACCGUCGUAGUCUAUACCAUAAACUAUGCCAAUUAGAGAUUGGAGGUCGUUUAU
rnacentral:rRNA from 1 species